rnacentral:rRNA from 1 species
UGUAAGCGUAUACCAAAGUUGUUGCAGUUAAAACGCUCGUAGUCGGAAUUUGGCAGUUCCGGAUGUGUGCACGUCGUGUGCGCACUUCGCGGGGAUUGCUUUUGUGGUCUUGCGUAGGAUGAGGCACUUUUAUCAGUGAACGUCCUCACGCAACCACUUUUUACUGUGAGAAAAUCAGAGUGCUCAAAGCAGGCAUUUGCCGUGAAUGUAUUAGCAUGGAAUAAUAGAAUAGGACUUGGUUCUAUUUUGUUGGUUUGUUGGGACUGAGUAAUGAUUAAGAGGGACAGUUGGGGGCAUUUGUAUUUCGGUGCUAGAGGUGAAAUUCUUAGAUUACCGAAAGACAAACUGCUGCGAAAGCGUCUGCCAAGGAUGUUUUCAUUGA